rnacentral:tRNA from 1 species
CGUUCGAUAGCUCAUCCUGGAAGAGCAGCCUGCGAAAGCCGGCUGGUAGCGGGUUCGAAUCCCGCUCGAACGC